UCAUAUGAUGAUUUUUCGUACGAUGUACGCUGGAAAUUACCGUCUGAGACCUUCGGUCUUUGACGACACCAAUAGGCUGUUUCUGAUC
rnacentral:snoRNA from 1 species